AUUGAACGCUGGCGGCAGGCUUAACACAUGCAAGUCGAACGAGUGGCGGACGGGUGUGUAAUGCUUGGGAAUCUAGCUUAUGGAGGGGGAUCACUACGGGAAACUGUAGCUAAUACCGCUUACCAUAGGAUGAGCCCAAGCGGGAUUAGGUAUUUGGUGAGGUAAAGGCUCACCAAGCCGACGAUCUCUAUCUAGUCUGAGAGGAUGACCAGCAACACUGGGACUGAGACACGGCCCAGACUCCUACGGGAGGCAGCAGUGGGGAAUAUUGGGAAAGGGGGGAAACCUGACGCAGAAAUGCGGCGUGAAUGAAGAAGGCGUUCGGGUUGUAAAGUUCUUUCGGUAGCGAGGCGUUAACUAAAGAAGAAGCACCGGCUAACUCCGUGCCAGCAGCCGCGGUAAUUC
rnacentral:rRNA from 1 species